GUCACAGAUUCGUCCUCCCAGAGUCCAUCCUCAUCCGUCUGGAGCCCGGCAUCUGCGUUGGUUGCAGUUCCCGGACGGAGGAGGUGGACAGCGCGUGCGUGGUGCGAGCCCGAGGCCUUCCCUGGCAGAGCUCAGACCAGGACAUCGCGAAGUUCUUCAGAGGCCUCAAUAUUGCCAAGGGUGGUGUGGCACUGUGCCUGAGUCCCCAGGGGCGCAGAAACGGAGAGGCACUGAUCCGCUUCAUCUCGCCCGAGCACCGCGACAUGGCCCUCAAGAGGCAUAAGCACCACAUCGGCAACCGGUACAUAGAGGUGUACAAGGCCACGGGCGAGGACUUCAUCAACGUGGCCGGCGAUUUGUUUUCUUUCCUAGGCAGCAACAAUGAGGCCCAGACCUUCCUGUCCCGCGGGGGUCAGGUCAUCAUCAGGAUGCGCGGCCUUCCCUACGACUGCACGCCCAAGCAAGUGGUGGAGUUCUUCGAGUCCGGGGAGAACGGGUGCCAGAUCCUCGACAGCGAGGACGGUGUGCUCUUCGUCCGGAAGCCCGACGGACGGGCCACUGGGGACGCCUUCGUCCUCUUCAGCACCGAGGAGGACAGCACCAAGGCCCUCGGCAAGCACAGGGAAAUCAUCGGCUCAAGAUACAUCGAACUCUUUCGUUCCACAACCGCCGAGGUCCAACAGGUGAGGGAACAGGUGCUAAAUCGCUCUAUGGACCCUCGGACAUAUGAACAGCAGCAGCCGCUCAUUGCACAGCUUCCACAAGUACCACUUUUGCCUCAACAAAUUAUUACUUCUGGUACUCGGAAGGACUGCAUUCGCCUUAGAGGGCUACCAUUUGAGGCGCAGGUGGAACACAUACUUGAAUUUUUAGGAGAGCUUGCGAAGAGCAUUGUUUAUCAAGGUGUCCACAUGGUGUACAAUGCUCAUGGACAGCCAAGUGGUGAAGCAUUCAUACAAAUGGAUAGUGAACAUUCUGCCUUUCUUGCUGCUCAGCAGAGGCAUCAUCGCUAUAUGGUCUUUGGCAAAAAGCAGCGUUAUAUAGAAGUUUUUCAGUGUUCGGGGGAAGAUAUGAAUAUGGUGCUGACUGGUGGCCUCCCAGCCCAGCGACCCGUCGUGUCCCCGGGAGGCACUGUGAUUGCACCCCCUUUUGGCGCAUUUCCACUGGGGCCUGCUCCUCCAGUUUUGAAUGCUGUUGGUGCCGUUACUCCCCGUCUACCCACAUACCCAGGAGUGGCAUAUCCAACUAUGUUCUAUUGGCCAUACCCAUCUCCUCCUGUAUCUCCAAGCUCUCCAUACUAUGGUUCUCCUCCACACCUUGCUGCACCAGCUACACCACCUCAUCACACAAUUUUCCUGCAGCGAACCUCCUCGCAGGAACUGGUGACAAUGCUACUACCAUCAACUGGAUGCUGAGAACAAGUAAUGGUGGUGUCACCUACCUCACCACCUAGAUAAUGAAGGGCAUCACUAGGACUGCUAUCAACAACAACAGAGACAUCAAGAUAGCACCCGAGUGUUUGCCCAUUCAAGCAAGUGGUGACACAUCACGGCACAACGGCGAGGCGGUGGCUACCAUGUGAGAGAGUGACACAUGUUGAUGCCUCGGGUUAAUUAUGUUUUUUGAACCUCUGCAUCUAUGAAAUGAUACAAGAUUAUCAUAUGUUCAUUGUGACCAAGACUAUUUUAAGGGACAUGUUACAUUUGCUGUUCUUCCUAUGAGAGGAGGAAAUAUUGGUAAUGUAUUGGUGCUGUAAUUUACGUUAUUCAAAAAUGAGAUGACUCGAUCCGGUGACACAUCAUUAACAAUUGAAAAUAAUAAUUACAAUUUUAUCAGUUUUAUUACAACCGAGGUCUCUUGUCAAGAUGUUUCUCUUGCAACAAGAAUGUAAGUACUGUACUGUAAUUGGGGUUCAACAAAACUGUUAGAUGGAAUCUUUGAAGAAAGAGAGAGGGAGAGGGAUGGAGUCCAACAUAUAUAUAUUAAUGUAAAUACAGUAUUCAGAAGUACAGUAAUUUCAAACUGCUAAAUAAAUGAGCAACUGAAAAUGCUAUGAAAUGUAUUUUAAUAGAAUACCAAUUGCCACUUGAGGCCCAUAAUCCUCGCAGGAGAUCAUGAUGCACAAGAAUACAUACUGCCAGCAAUCAGAUUAUUACUGAAAACCUCCUUAGCAUUAGAAUUUUGCCUAAUGAAUGAUUUAUAAUGUUUAUAAUUGAUAUGAACUUACAAAAUACAUACAUUGCUUUUUCUCUAGGUUGUGUAAUUAUUAAUUUUGUCCUUAGGUUAAGGAGCUUUUAGUUGCAAUAGCCUAUUGGCAGCAACUCUAGACAACAAGUAUCACAAAAAGUCUUCCAGUAGGUUUUUUAAGUAAAUUUUAUGUACAUUCGCCUACACAGGUGCUUAUGAUAUGAGUUGACAGUAAUUAAUGUAGCAUAAAUGCAGAUGCUAUUCUUAGUUUUAAGUUUUCUACCUUAAUUUUUACUUCUAUGUUACUCAUUGUGCAUUCAAAGUGCCUUAUUGAAGUUGUAUAUUAUUUUGAGCAUUGCUUCCUACAAAACCGCCGUCAAUACUACAGUGUGAUGCUGCAGCCCCUCAAUUUUAUUAUAUCCUGCUAUGGAUCAAACUUCAUGAUUAUAUUUGUUGGUUAGUAAGAGCAAAGAUAUGUACAAAAUGUGUAAUCUGCAGUGUCAAAGUACAGCAAACUGUCAUGAAUAGCAGAUGAAAUUGUAAAAAACAAAAAAAAAAUCUUGGUACUACGAAGUCGUGAUAAAGCAGGCAGUGAGAUUGAGAUUACAGAUUAAGUCCUAAGGAUGCUGAAGCUGAGCAGGUGAAGCUGCAUUCCUAUCACAAGGGUGGGUGGGUGUGUUGCCAAGAACUUCUUUUAUUACUUUAGAGUUUAUGAUGUAUCCCUGAACAACGAAUGAGCUAUUUGCUGAUGAAUUUUGCCAGAGUCAAAUUUGUAUGAAUUUAUUCUCCCAUAACAUAUGGAAGAUGGGUGUACUUAUUUUACUCAUAUUUUGUCAGGGAUUCUACUAAUCACAUCAUGUAAAGAAAGUAGACAAUAUCAUUUCUAUAUUUUCAUUUUACAAGUGUUGUAAAUUAAGAUAGUUAAAAUGAAGUAGAUUAUAGCUUUACAGUGACUGAUCUCCCCAUUUUUCCAGUAUGUGCAUUGCUCACUCACCCUUGUUGCCAAUCAGUGACACAGAUGUGUCAUAAGUUGUUCUGGCAGACAAUAAACAGUUUUGCCUGUUGGGUGCUUUCAGAUUGUUACCAUUUUUUAUUGUGGCAAAAAAAUGCAGAAGUAAUGGAAGCUUUAUAGUAAUCCAUUGGCUUGCCUGCAGAGAUAAAAUUAGAUUAUGGAUAUUCUGUUUUGCAGAAAUUACUGUUCAUGCCACAUUCUUCCCCAAGGGAGUUUUGGUAUUCCAUUAAUCAUUCCCUGUUUCAGCAUUUUUUAUGUAAACAUUGUAAAAACAAUUGUUUUCCUGUUGUCAUAAAUCAGGGCAUAUUGGCUGCUUAUUACUUCAUUUUCAUGUACUGGAGUAAUACACUUCUAGCUUUUGUUAUAUUUUCAAGUUGUUAUUUAUUAUAAUUUUAUAUUUCUAUUGAUUAAUAUGUAAUUACUUCAUUAAGUAGUCCUCUAUACUUGAAGACAGGGUGCUCCACACAACACAGUGAAGUGCUCACAGUAACUGUAAUGUUAGUUGUUAAGUAAGCCCUUGCUAAUCUUACAAGGGCUUAAACUUGUUGAAUAUGUUUUGAAAUGUGUAGUUUAUUAUUAUAGCUAUUAAGUGGCCCUCACUUUGAGUAUAGGGCUUUCAACUUGCUGGCUGCAUUUUGAGUACUGCAGUUUAUCAGUUUCUUGUUCUUCGUACCCUAGUCGUGACAGCGUGAGUAGUGAGCCGCAACAGUGCUCAAGCCACUCUCAACCUAAUGCUCAGGCAGCCAUGUGCACCACAAUUCUAAAUACUUAACUUUUUUUUUUACAAUGCACUAUAUUGUAAUUCUUAGUGAUUUCAGAGAACUUAUAUUAAUGCCAUAGUCUUAAACACGUCAUUUUAGGCAUUAUAUUUUUAAAUUACCCUAGAUGUUUAAAUUUGCAUGCCAAAAUUCAAGAUUUGUUUACAUACAAGUAAAUUUCUGAGAGAUUCAGCUCUUAACUAAUUCUUAAAAAAAUAUAAAUAGUAUGACACUCUUAAAUAUCAAUUGCUAAUAUGAGAUGGUGCUAUCCAUUAUAUUUGGUACAGUUCAUUACUAUCUUUUCAUGUUUUGGAAUUAGAUAAUCCUGCACUUUUAAAUUCAGAAUUCUUCAUAAAUAUUUGCUUUGUUAGCCCAUUUUCCAGAUUUAUUUAGCCAUAAGGGCAGCACAGAUAGAUACAUACAGUCCAUUCCGGUCCUUGGUGUAUGAUGACAGGUAUGACAUUUUUCAAAUGUAGCGAGUGCUGGUGUAUAUUAAGACGUGCGGGUGUAAAGGUGGUCAGUGAUUGAAACCCUUAAGAAUCUUGUUACCAUCAUCUUAGAUGUCAAAGGGGGAAAAAAAUAAAAAUUAAAAAUAGAUAAUCUAGGUUGUGACCAUAGCUAGUCACUCUGCCUUGUUUAGGCCCUUGGUAAAGUUGAACUUAAUAAGAUGUUGACACCUGGAUAUUGCAUAUAAUAUGAACAGAUGCAUUAGUAUUUAAACAUGUAAUAGUCAAACUGUUUAUCAUCCAUUUUUUCAGAUUUUUGCAUCGUUGAAUUUGAUACACAUUAAAAUACAGUAACCUAUGUGCAGAGAUGCAUUUCUUGGUGUAAUUUUGUUUCUUGUAUACCAUGUUGUGAUUUCCAUUCAGUAUUACAGAUUAAAUUUUUUUGUCUAUAUUUACGACAUGGAUAGAUCUGAUUACCAUUUAUUGUCAGUUUUUUGUGUUUUAUUAUAUUUUUUAGGUUUUUACUGUGGUGUACAUGGCUGAAAACUAUUUAUUACACAUAUAUUACCAGUAUGAGUUUGUUAAAAAGAAACCUUUGUGAGAAAUUGAGAAAGUAAAUUAUUUCCUAUGCUUAAUAAGUCAUCAAGUAUCCAAAGAUAAAGUGUGUAACAAGUGAAUAAGAAUUUUAUAAUAUAUAUAAUGAUCGCUGGUAUAAUCAUUGCAUUAUCUCGUGACCAUCAUCUGUGAUAUUUUAAAGUGUGAAGAGCCAUCUUAUGGAAUGCCAGGGAGACAGGUGCUCAGUAGUUGAUUAUUAAUUUGUGGCUAAAAUUCACCAUGAUUUUGGGGAGAAUUACUGGUUUGUCUCGGGCAUCUUUCAGGGUGUAAAGGGAUAUCCUGGCUCUUCCUCGACAGAAGGCAGAGUGGAAGCCUAGAAAACAACAAAUUAUAUAACUAAAUAUUUUCUUUAUACAUUAAGAGCAUGAUUUAAUGUUGCAUACAUUGCUCUCCAAAAAUAGCAUCACUUUAAUAGUACUCCAACUACAAAAUUAAAUUUUUGCUAAUAUUUUUAUGGUGCUCAUGUAACAGGCAUUCAGGCUAAGACUGUAACAGGCUAAGUGAAAUCACUCAAUAUAUCUUGGUCUCUAAUGUGAAAGAGGCAUUGUAAAAUGUGCCUGCCACUUUGUAUAUCUGUCGGUGAGGAGCCAUGUGAGGGUCUUAUUUUCUUUCUGUAGAUACUUUUCCACCGGGCGCAUUGGAAGGUCCUUCUGGUUAUUGGUGAAUCAAUCAUCAUUGCUCUGUAGCUCACCUUGGGUCCCAGUUUGUAGCUCGCCUUGGAUCCUAGUUCACAGCUUGCCUUGGAUCUCGGUCCAUAGCUUGGCUUGGGUCACAGUCCGUAGCUCACCCUGGGUCCCACUCUGUCAAUCCAGUCUGUAAUAAUGAUUUUUUGAAGGUGGUUGAGGCAGUUAUUAGCUUUGGUUCUUUGCGGCUUUGGGUACACCAAACUAGGGUAUGUAUUUUUUCCCCAGUUCUUUGUCUUUGUUUGCUUCUCCCUAUGUUGGUAGUCAAUAAAUUAAAAGAAAUUUGAAGUGGCCACCAGUUAUCUUGAGUAAUGAUGCAGGUAUUGUUUAUCUGUAAAAUCUUUGAAAUGUUACUUCAGUUUUCUUUUACGUAGUGCUAAUAAGCAUAGCAUUCCAAUAUAAUCCUUUACCUGAUUUCCAUGGCUUUUUACACUAGCGAUAACUUAGUUUUUAAGGUCAUUUCAUUAUUUUUUUUAUGCUCCCAUACUUCAUAUGCACAUUCCAUUAGUAUGAUAGAAAAUAUGACUCCAUUUUCUGCCUGUUUGUAUAUAUGAUGGAGGUAUUAUCUUAUGUCUGCUCAAAAAGUUGGUCGAGACACGCUGUCCUAUCCGGUCUCUCUUUCAGAAUUAUGUAAAACAAAAAAGUUGAUGGAAACCAUUCCAUGGAUGCAAGAGAUUAGCAUAGGCACAGAGGGUCUCUGGCUGGCUCUCACUCACCACAACAUAUACAAUUUUGUUUUCCAUUUAUAAAUAAUUAGCUUUUAAUGUAGAUUUUAUAUACACUACAUUUUAUUUAAUUAAGCUGUGUUGUAUGAAAUGGUUUGUAUAGGAUGAGCCUAGUUGAUUAUUUUCUCCCUGUAUAGUCUCUUGCAAUUCAAGACAAUCUAUGUACACCCAAUACAGGUGAUAUGCCAAUACUUAAGUACAGUAAGUCAUAUUCAGCGAUGCCCACCUAUACUAGGUCAUUAAGUAUGAGAUCAUAUUCAGUUAUGUCAAGCACUACUGAUAGUGUGUAAACAUAGCAUUACUAUCUUCAUAGAAAUCUUAGCAAUACACAGUAUGAAGUCACUGCUGUGGACAAAGCCAAAGAUUUCUGAGGAUGUAAAAGUGAAUAUACAAGAAGACAUCUUCACUAGGCCAUUCUUCUUGAUGGGAUUGUUAUAUCCCCAUGUGCAAUACACAGAUUAUUUAUCCUGUUUUUCUAGUGAGUGUAACUUGUUGCAAUAUGAAAGUACGAUUAUAGCAGUGCACUUAACAGUGUUGUUUAAUUUUUGUAGAAUUUAGUUCAACAUGAACUAAAUACUAGCGUGACAGUAAGAAUUAUAUUUAAGAAGAUUUCCCAGACUUGCCCUGACUGAAUCGGGCAUUUUAGGUAGUGUCUUGAUGGAUCUUAACAGGAUGGCUUACAAAUGUAUAGUUUGUAACAGUGGGAAAAAAAAGUCCAAACUACUCUCAGUAAGUCACUGUAAGACCCAUAUUACAAACACAAAAAUGCGGCGAGAUUUCUGAUAUUCAUGUAGAUUUAGAUAAUGUAUUUUGAAAUUUGCAAAUCUUGUAUAAAAUCAGCAUAAAUGACUAAACUCCAUUAUUGUUCAUAUGUGCAAAUAUAGAUUAGCGACCAUAGCAGCUUUGCAUGUAUUUAUAUAAAAUUUACGAAUAAAGUAAUCUAUGCAUU
rnacentral:misc_RNA from 1 species